rnacentral:rRNA from 1 species
CAGCAGCCACGGUAAUACGAAGGGGGCUAGCGUUGUUCGGAUUUACUGGGCGUAAAGGGCGCGUAGGCAGACUGAUAAGUCAGGGGUGAAAUCCCAAGGCUCAACCUUGGAACUGCCUUUGAUACUGUUUGUCUUGAGUUCGAGAGAGGUAAGUGGAACUGCGAGUGUAGAGGUGAAAUUCGUAGAUAUUCGCAAGAACACCAGUGGCGAAGGCGGCUUACUGGCUCGAAACUGACGCUGAGGCGCGAAAGCGUGGGGAGCAAACAGGAUUAGAUACCCCAGUAGUCCCUGUCUCUUAUAA